rnacentral:lncRNA from 1 species
ACUCGAUUCGAUUCUCCUCCAUCCAUCCGUCUAGCAGCUACCGGCCGGCUCUACCAACGGGUGUGGAUGUAUCUGUCCAUCCCAAAAUGGCAUGAGAAAUGUACGUACGUACUCAGGCACAUGAGCGGUGGCCGUGGCCGUGUACCGUACGUACCUGUGUUCAGAUAUGCACGCAGUAUUCAUUGAGUUUGCCGGUUCUUGGUGCAGCUGGCCACACACUUCCGUAUCCGGGCUGGGCGAGGCCGGUU